UUUCCCGGUAUAGACCCAGUGUGUCAACGCUGUAAAUGCAUUGUGGGAAACGGACUAUUUCCAGCAUGGCGCCCGUAAAGAUUAUGAACACGGAAGUAAAAAUAGUAAUAAAUUAUUAUCAAAAACAGGCCUCAUCAAACCGGGUCAGCCAUGAUAUAUUCUUGGAUGCAGUUUGUGCUUCAAAAGGAGCUACUUUUCAUGCCAGCCUAUCGAUACUAUGUGGGAACUGGGAUUCGGGAUGCUCUCCCACUGGUAUCAUAUGCAGAUCAGUGGUCACAAGAACGUACACAACAUCAUUAAUGUCAGCAAUAUAUAUCUCCAACUUCAAACACACAGCUUGCAAAAUCGCUGAAUAUUGCACAAAAGCAGCUUCGUUACAAACUUCCAGCAACUCGAAAUCCACAAGCAGUCUCGUUCCCCACCCACUUUGACUUCGUAGCGAAGGCAUGUUUUUUUUGGGAAACCGUUAACAUCUCACAACUAAACGUAUACUACGGAGAUUGACAAGUUGAAAAAUAAAUUACUGUAAUCACUUCCAAUUUGCGCACUAAGUUAAACUCCAGUUCCAGUUUGUCUUUAUUGUUGAAAUGUUACUCUACACAUUCGCUUUGAAAAUAGAGGUUGGCGUGUUGUUGGAAGUACAUGUACAUGUCGAAUGUGUUAUUGUAAAAACUAUUGGUAUUGUGUUUUUAGUGCAGACAUUGUAUUUAAGUUUCGAUUUCUAGCAUAAAUUUAUAUAUUUUGUUAAAUAAUUUGCGUUUGAAUGUGAUUGUUUGUUGCUUACUUGCGAACUAUUUUUUAUGUGUAAAUAUGCAUAGACGCUAGUGGAUAUGUAAUCAGGUUACCAUAUUUACAACAAUAAAAUUUAACGGCUGUU